AGCGAACGCUGGCGGCAGGCCUAACACAUGCAAGUCGAACGGCCCUAUCGGGGUUACUGGCUGUCGCGUGAGUCACACGUCGGACGGUUCCUUUAGGCACGGAAUAACUCUGUUUCGCUUGUGCUAAUGCCGAAUGACCUCUUCGGGGACCGCAUUUAUCGCCCUUAGAGCGGCACGCGACCGUUUAGCUAGUUGCUUGAGGUUAUGCCGACCCAGGGCGACGAUCUGGAGCUGGUAAGAGAGGAUGAGCAGCCACAUCCGGACGGAGACACAGCCGAAACUCCUACGGGAGGCGGCAGUGGGGAAUCCUGCGCAAUCGGGGAAAGCCUGACGGAGCCAUGCUGCGAGAAUGAUGAAGGUCUUAGGAAAGUAAAACUCUUUCACAGGGGACGAUAAUGACGGUACCCGAAGAAGAAGCCCCGGCUAACUUCGUG
rnacentral:rRNA from 1 species